rnacentral:lncRNA from 1 species
CCGUCGAUCAACAUUCAUUCAUCUCCUCGAUAGCUCUGUCUGACAGACGUACCACUCUUCAGUAAAACAAGCGUAACUUCUGAUCUAACCGUUGUAUUGACCUCUACCGGUGGCAGUGGAAAGCUAACUCAAAGCUAUAUCUUGUGUCAAAGAUCAGCUCUAUCGCACCAUGUGAAAGUCUCCAUCCAUAUCUAAACAUCUGACGCAUCUGUGCAGUUAUGUACCUCAAAAGGCUCCAAAAA